CGGGACGUAGCGCAGCCCGGUAGCGCACCUGAAUGGGGUUCAGGGGGUCGCGGGUUCAAAUCCCGCCGUCCGGA
rnacentral:tRNA from 1 species